rnacentral:rRNA from 1 species
UACGUAGGGGGCGAGCGUUGUCCGGAUUUAUUGGGCGUAAAGAGCUCGUAGGCGGCUUGGCAAGUCGGGUGUGAAACCUCCAGCUCAACCUGGAGACGCCACUCGAUACUGCUAUGGCUAGAGUCCGGUAGGGGACCACGGAAUUCCUGGUGUAGCGGUGAAAUGCGCAGAUAUCAGGAGGAACACCGGUGGCGAAGGCGGUGGUCUGGGCCGGCACUGACGCUGAGGAGCGAAAGCGUGGGUAGCAAACAGG